rnacentral:rRNA from 1 species
UACGUAGGGGGCAAGCGUUAUCCGGAUUUACUGGGUGUAAAGGGUACGUAGGCGGUUACUUAAGUCAGAUGUGAAAGCCCGAAGCUCAACUUCGGGACUGCAUUUGAAACUGGGUAACUAGAGUACAGGAGAGGAAAGCGGAAUUCCUAGUGUAGCGGUGAAAUGCGUAGAUAUUAGGAAGAACACCAGUGGCGAAGGCGGCUUUCUGGACUGUAACUGACGCUGAGGUACGAAAGCGUGGGGAGCGAACAGG